rnacentral:rRNA from 1 species
AUUGAACGCUGGCGGCAGGCCUAACACAUGCAAGUCGAACGAGUGGCGGACGGGUGAGUAAUGUCUGGGAAACUGCCUGAUGGAGGGGGAUAACUACUGGAAACGGUAGCUAAUACCGCAUACCAUCGGAUGUGCCCAGAUGGGAUUAGCUAGUAGGUGGGGUAAAGGCUCACUGGGGCGACGAUCCCUAGCUGGUCGGAGAGGAUGACCAGCCACCCGGGAACGGAGACACGGUCCAGACGCCUACGGGAGGCAGCAGUGGGGAAUAUGGGACAAUGGGGGCAAGCCUGAUGCAGCCAUGCCGCGUGUAUGAAGAAGGCCUUCGGGUUGGAAAGUACUUUCAGCGGGGAGGCGUUACCCGCAGAAGAAGCACCGGCUAACUCCGUGCCAGCAGCCGCGGUAAUUC